rnacentral:sRNA from 1 species
UUAAAAGAUAGGUGGCGCAGUAUUCUAGUCGUUGCCAAUCGAUUUGAAGGCGGGGCUAAAAAUCCGUCAAUGGGCACAUCGAUGAAGUCCCUUUUGUUGGCCUGUGACGCCCAGUCGUGGGCUGGUAGAGGGGGUUAAGAAAGUAGGGCGAUCCGCAAUGGCAUGUGGGCGUUGACCCUGCUUUCGUGGAGGCCCAAGUGCGUAGGCCGGGCGUUGUGGUCUGGUUUAUGGCUUGGGGUAACCUGCAUUAAACAACAGCUUAGGAAAUGUUGGUGCAGUGUAGCCUGCCUUGAGUGGGUAUAGUGGGGAUGGCGGGUAUCAAGUUCUCCGAACUUGGCCAAGGGAGGGAGCUUUUGCCGCCUGAAACUAUAACCUGCAAAAGAGGCUAGAAUCGGUAAAGGCAUCGUUGAGGAAAACUCCUAGACUGUCCUUAUGUGCGGCGUUUUGGGGAUUACAGUGUGAACUAAGUGGCAAUCCAGUCUUUCAUUCGGCGACGAUGGAAACUUGGCGUAAAGGGAAACCGCCUGCCGGCGACGGCAAGGUGAACGAGUGGGAAAACCUACUGGACCUCAAGUCACAAUAUUUACUUAGAACGUUGCCACCUAUCAUAUUUA